rnacentral:lncRNA from 1 species
GCAGACUCUUUAGGCUUCUUCCUGUGACACGACUCUUGUCAAAACAAGUCCCGUGGGCGUUGCUACCUUCGACGUGGGUGGGAAAGAGCCUGGAAGAGGAAGAGAGCUGAGAUUUCGCGGGGCGCGCCUUGCUCUUCCUGAAGAUCCGUCAGUUCCGUGCCAGCUCCACUGCCCGUUCCUCGCCUGCUGCUCUCUUGGCACCAGUCUCCUGAAAUGCCUGGGUGACAGCACAGCUUGAAUUUUAAGAGGAUUUUGCCGUGUCCCCAGAUGGAAAGGCAGAAGUGUUUGCCCUCUGGGAACCAGGCCCUCUGGAACUGCAGAACCUAGAAUUGCACACGAGUUCCAGUGGGAGCCUGGGAUCACUCGCUGGACGGUGGACAGUGGCGGGACCUCUUCUUCCAGCCGUUUCCCAGCCCCACACAGCACUGUGUCACGGUAUGAUGGCCAAGAAAUUUCUUUUUCAAAAGGGAACACUUCUAAGAUUAAGAAGAUGUGCUACCAGAUGAAUUCCAAGAAACAGAUGUAAAAUAAGAUACUCCCAGGCGAACCAGGGAUGUUGUGGGUCUUGGGAAGGAAAGGGUUGGCCGGGCUCUGUGUCUGGUCAAAUCUCCCAGGAACCUUGCUAAUCAGACUUCUGCCGAUACUUACUUGCAGAAAGAGUAUGAAGAGCCCUCAUCUACGGAAUGUCUUUAGCAGGCAGGACCUUGUCUUUCUAGGUGGCAUGUGAUAAACAAACAUAGUAGUUAUAGAUUUGUAGCACUUGGAUCUCUGGAAGAUGUUGAUGUCAAAUAUAUGAUUAUUAGAAAGUGAAAUAGGGAUAUUUCAUGAUUGAAAUUACUCCCUUUUGUGAGUACAAUGUCCUGCCUGCCCACUUGGGAGCCUCAUAUAGUAAAUCUUGACGAGCAAGAGCCUGGGAAGUUGCAAAGGUAGUCUCCUCUUCAACUUCACUCACCAGGACCUUGGGAUUGAUUGCCUAGCCUUUUGAAUUACUAGGAAAACUUAGAAACUGGUGCAGUUUCUUGAGACUUUGACUUGAUAGUUUAAAUUUCCCAAUUUACUAGUAUAGACUUGUGCAGAAUACAUGUUGAUAAAGUUCUUGAUCUCUCCUCUGGCUGAUCAUAGAGCCACCCUCAAGCCUAACGUCAUGCAUUUAUGUCUUUUCUCUUGUUUUCUUGAUUGUCCUUAUCUUUAGAAUCCCGCCUACCACAGUCACAAACACAACGCCAUAGACAUAAUGCCAUUUUUGCCCAUAAAUAUUCCGAUGUGUAUUUCCUAAAAACAAGUGCUUGCUCUUCCCUAGCCACAGCAGCAUGGUUAAAAUCAGGAACUAACCUUAAUGCAGACUAGCAUCUAAUCUGCAGACCUUUAUGCAACUGUUUCCAAGUGCUCCACGCACGCUCCUGAUGGAGAACAAACAAGGAGACCAAGUUCCGGUUCCAUCUUUCAUCCCAGAUCACGUGCCACACUUGAUCGUCUCAUCUCUUUAGCCUCCUUUAAUCUGGACUGUCUCCUUGGUCUGUCCUGACCUUCAUGACCUUGACUUUUGAAAGAACGUGUGGCCUGUACAAGUUUCCAAAAAACAUUUUUCAACAAGAUAUUUCACUUGAAGGAGAACUUACUCGGUAUGAGUUGUGUUAGAAUAAUCUAGUCCUGGGAGUUCCUGUUGUGGCGCAGUGGUUAACGAAUCUGACUAGGAACCAUGAGGUUGCGGGUGCAGGCCCUGCCCUUGCGCAGUGGGUUAACGAUCCAGCGUUGCUGUGAGUUGCAGUGUAGGUUGCAGACGCGGUUCGGAUCCCGCAUUGCUGUGUCUCUGGCGUAGGCCGGUGGCUCCUGCUCCGAUUGGACCCCUAGCCUGGGAACCUCCAUAUGCCGCGGGAGCGGCCCAAGAAAUAGCAAAAAGACAAAAAAAAAAAAAAAAAAAAAAAAAG